UGGGGAAUAUUGCACAAUGGGCGCAAGCCUGAUGCAGCCAUGCCGCGUGUGUGAAGAAGGCCUUCGGGUUGUAAAGCACUUUCAGCGGGGAGGAAGGCGGUGAGGUUAAUAACCUCAUCGAUUGACGUUACCCGCAGAAGAAGCACCGGCUAACUCCGUGCCAGCAGCCGCGGUAAUACGGAGGGUGCAAGCGUUAAUCGGAAUUACUGGGCGUAAAGCGCACGCAGGCGGUUGAUUGAGUCAGAUGUGAAAUCCCCGGGCUUAACCCGGGAAUUGCAUCUGAUACUGGUCAGCUAGAGUCUCGUAGAGGGGGGUAGAAUUCCAGGUGUAGCGGUGAAAUGCGUAGAGAUCUGGAGGAAUACCGGUGGCGAAGGCGGCCCCCUGGACGAAGACUGACGCUCAGGUGCGAAAGCGUGGGGAGCAAACUGG
rnacentral:rRNA from 1 species